rnacentral:rRNA from 1 species
GCUUUGUCCUGUGACUGCGUACCUUUUGUAUAAUGGGUCAGCGACUUAUAUUCAGUGGCAAGGUUAACCAUCUAGGGGAGCCGUAGGGAAACCGAGUCUUAACUGGGCGUUCAGUCUCUGGAUAUAGACCCGAAACCAGGUGAUCUAGCCAUGGGCAGGUUGAAGGUUGAGUAACAUCAACUGGAGGACCGAACCGACUAAUGUUGAAAAAUUAGCGGAUGACUUGUGGCUAGGGGUGAAAGGCCAAUCAAACCUGGAGAUAGCUGGUUCUCCCCGAAAGCUAUUUAGGUAGCGCCUCGGACGAAUACUACUGGGGGUAGAGCACUGUUAAGGCUAGGGGGUCAUCCCGACUUACCAACCCUUUGCAAACUCCGAAUACCAGUAAGUACUAUCCGGGAGACACACGGCGGGUGCUAACGUCCGUCGUGGAGAGGGAAACAACCCAGACCGCCAGCUAAGGUCCCAAAUUACUACUAAGUGGGAAACGAUGUGGGAAGGCUCAGACAGCCAGGAUGUUGGCUUAGAAGCAGCCAUCAUUUAAAGAAAGCGUAAUAGCUCACUGGUCGAGUCGGCCUGCGCGGAAGAUGUAACGGGGCUAAGUAGUAAACCGAAGCUGCGGCAAUGUGCUUUUGCACAUUGGGUAGGGGAGCGUUCUGUAAGCGGUUGAAGGUGUGUGGUAACGCAUGCUGGACGUAUCAGAAGUGCGAAUGCUGACAUGAGUAACGAUAAAGGGGGUGAAAAACCUCCUCGCCGGAAGACCAAGGGUUCCUGUCCAACGUUAAUCGGGGCAGGGUAAGUCGACCCCUAAGGCGAGGCCGAAAGGCGUAGUCGAUGGGAAACGGGUUAAUAUUCCCGUACUUCUUACAAUUGCGAUGGGGGGACGGAGAAGGCUAGGUGGGCCUGGCGACGGUUGUCCAGGUUCAAGUGCGUAGGCUUAAGAGUUAGGUAAAUCCGGCUCUUUUUAAGGCUGAGACACGACGUCGAGCACCUACGGGUGUGAAGUCAUUGAUGCCAUGCUUCCAGGAAAAGCCUCUAAGCUUCAGAUUGUAAGGAAUCGUACCCCAAACCGACACAGGUGGUCGGGUAGAGAAUACCAAGGCGCUUGAGAGAACUCGGGUGAAGGAACUAGGCAAAAUGGUACCGUAACUUCGGGAGAAGGUACGCUCUCGACGGUGAAGUCCCUCGCGGAUGGAGCUAUUGAGAGUCGCAGAUACCAGGUGGCUGCAACUGUUUAUUAAAAACACAGCACUGUGCAAAAUCGUAAGAUGACGUAUACGGUGUGACGCCUGCCCGGUGCCGGAAGGUUAAUUGAUGGGGUUAGACUUCGGUCGAAGCUCUUGAUCGAAGCCCCGGUAAACGGCGGCCGUAACUAUAACGGUCCUAAGGUAGCGAAAUUCCUUGUCGGGUAAGUUCCGACCUGCACGAAUGGCGUAAUGAUGGCCACGCUGUCUCCACCCGAGACUCAGUGAAAUUGAAAUCGCUGUGAAGAUGCAGUGUACCCGCGGCUAGACGGAAAGACCCCGUGAACCUUUACUACAGCUUGGCACUGAACAUUGACCCUACAUGUGUAGGAUAGGUGGGAGGCUUUGAAGCACGUACGCCAGUAUGUGUGGAGCCGUCCUUGAAAUACCACCCUUGUAGUGUUGAUGUUCUAACGUUGACCCCUUAUCGGGGUUGCGGACAGUGCCUGGUGGGUAGUUUGACUGGGGCGGUCUCCUCCCAAAGAGUAACGGAGGAGCACGAAGGUGGGCUAAUCACGGUUGGACAUCGUGAGGUUAGUGCAAUGGCAUAAGCCCGCUUGACUGCGAGAAUGACAAUUCGAGCAGGUGCGAAAGCAGGUCAUAGUGAUCCGGUGGUUCUGAAUGGAAGGGCCAUCGCUCAACGGAUAAAAGGUACUCCGGGGAUAACAGGCUGAUACCGCCCAAGAGUUCAUAUCGACGGCGGUGUUUGGCACCUCGAUGUCGGCUCAUCACAUCCUGGGGCUGAAGUCGGUCCCAAGGGUAUGGCUGUUCGCCAUUUAAAGUGGUACGCGAGCUGGGUUUAGAACGUCGUGAGACAGUUCGGUCCCUAUCUGCCGUGGGCGUUGGAAGAUUGAAGGGGGCUGCUCCUAGUACGAGAGGACCGGAGUGGACGAACCUCUGGUGUUCGGGUUGUGUCGCCAGACGCAUUGCCCGGUAGCUAAGUUCGGAAUCGAUAACCGCUGAAAGCAUCUAAGCGGGAAGCGAGCCCUGAGAUGAGUCUUCCCUGAUACUUUAAGUAUCCUAAAGGGUUGUCGGAGACUACGACGUUGAUAGGUCAGGUGUGUAAGUGCUGUGAGGCAUUGAGCUAACUGAUACUAAUUGCCCGUGAGGCUUAACCAUACAACACCCAAGGGGUUU